UGCAGCCAGAGUUUUUUUUAAAUCUUCACCCUGGCAGGAGUUUUUUCAAAAUGUUCGGUUUCAGUGACCUGGUGCAGCGCUUGCGUGAGGACGAACGGAACAAACCGCAUAGAAAAAGCUGCUGUUUUGAAAAUAACCGCGUUCUGUGGACGACCAAUGAGCGCGCGCGUUGAGCAUUCAAAUCACAUUUAAACUGAAGCUGAGGAGGUUACCAUGGUAACAGGGCGUCAACUCACUCAGCUGACAAGUAACGAGAAGCUGUCUCUCUGCUGUCUUCACUGCUUUCAGGUAAGUUUAGUCCCUAAAGUUACACAAAUAAUACAUACAACUGUUCCUGACACUUUCUUACAUGUUACUGACACGUUUCUGUUGAAUCCUUACUUUACAGGAGUGGUAUAGUGUCUUCAAAAAGACCUUUAGCAUCACAACCGUUAACUAUAGAGGCUAACAAUUAGAGGAGCGUCAGAAAAAAAUACCUAAAACAGGGGAAGUUACAAAACAAUUUGUAAUGUGAGCUGCUGACAGAGAUACAGGAAACACAGAGCUGGAGCGGAGCAGAUCUCCUGUCGAAGAACAUCUCCAAAGCACCAUGAACCAUCUGACUAGGCAGUUCGUGAAGACGGAUAACCUGGACAGAAGUCGGUUCCAGAUCCAGCCUCCACACCAGACAUCUCACUCACAAGGAUUGCUGUCUACUAGAUAUUAUGUGUACUCUUCAGACUUAGGUUCAUGCAGAUAUUAUUCAGGGACAUGAACACUUGAAUACUGCAAAAAUAUACCUUAUUUAAGAAUUUUGUGUUAAUUGCGUGAACAUUAAACAAAUAUAUUUAUUUUACUGUUUUUUGUUUUGUAUUCCAAAGCACCUAAAAGCCAAUUCACACUGCCAUACUCCAACAGGGUGAACACACUGACCAAGCAAAACAAAUAAGCAUGUUUUUAUAGUUUUUGUGAAAGUGUGAACUGACAAUGCUGUAUGUUAGGUGUGAGAUUCAUUCAACUUGGUUUGCUGAUUAAACAUGAUUAAA